UUUCCGUAGGCGAACCUGCGGAAGGAUCAUUAUUGUAUAACCGAGGUGCGAGGGCUGUCGCUGACCCGAAAGGUCGUGCACGCCCGAGUGCCCUCACACACAUCCAUCUCACCCCUAUUUGCACCACCGCGUGGGUCCCCCUUUGGCUUGUUCGGAGGGGGGCUUACGUUUUCACACAAACUUUGUAUGCAGUGUAGAAUGUAUUUUUUGUUUUUGCGAUCACGCAAUCAAUACAACUUUCAACAACGGAUCUCUUGGCUCUC
rnacentral:misc_RNA from 1 species